rnacentral:rRNA from 1 species
AAAUUGAAGAGUUUGAUCAUGGCUCAGAUUGAACGCUGGCGGCAGGCCUAACACAUGCAAGUCGAACGGUAACAGGAAUCAGCUUGCUGAUUCGCUGACGAGUGGCGGACGGGUGAGUAAUGUCUGGGAAACUGCCUGAUGGAGGGGGAUAACUACUGGAAACGGUAGCUAA